AGAAGGCUAUCAGGUUGUCAAGCGUGAUUUCCUCUUGGUGAAUCUCUGCUGACUACACCUGAUAACCUUCUUUUCCAGUUACUUGGAGAUGACAUCCAGAGCAAGUUGUUCCAUCCCCUUUCCAGGGACACAGUUGUGAGAUCAACCCAAUCUCAGCUGUAAAAAUGGCAACAUUCUCACUGUGUGGAAACAACAUAAAAUCCAAUUUCCAAAGAUCCUGGAAGAUGCUGAGUAGCUUUCUUUCAUGCAUCACAGCACCAGAUGUGUCAGCCCUUUCCCAUUGCACAUAGGCAGCCUGGAAACUGGCUGAAGAUGGCAGAGCCCUGCUGAAUGAGGUCAGCUAUCCCAGGAACUUCACUUGCCUUUGAUUCUCACUCUCACUGUGAGUCAGAGAAGGAACAGCAAGCAGAGCUGUAACAAGGCUGAAUGCAUCCUGGACACAAUCUCAGGGUGGUGACACCUCCCCAGGAAGGGGAAUAAACAUGCUCCCUGGCUUUAAUGCCACUUUUAAAGCACCAUGAGAAAAGAAAUUUUCAGCUGAGCAGCAGAUUCAACAGCACAGUUUCCACCACAUAUAACAGGUUUGGGGCUAUAUUGUGAACAAAAAAACGUGUAAGAAAAGGAUGUGAUACAGAUACAAUCAAAACAGACCAUAGAUAACUUCACAGCUAAAUACUUUUCUAGAGCUGUUACAGAGAAAGCCAAUAAAUUUUUAUAUAUGCCUAA